rnacentral:tRNA from 1 species
AUCCGGCUGGCUCAGUGGGUAGAGUGUGUGACUCUUGAUCUCAGGGUCGUGAGUUCAGGCCCCACGCUGGACA